UUUAUCUGAUGUUGACUUGACUGCUUUACUGUAACGUAAUUGUAGCAUUUCUACAACAGCAACAGUGGCUGCACAUGUGACCAGAUUUCUAUACUGAUCCCGAUCGUGGUUUGGACCAGACUUAAUACCUAUAAGCACACCUAAUAACAAAAAUAUAAAAGUCCCAGCGGCUUAUAACACAACUGUAUUUAAGAAGCACAACUGGUGUCCUCUCUGCAACAAAUAAUUAAUCAGACUAUUUGAUGGCUAUAGGCACCAAAGUCAGCUGUCAUACCGGAGGAGUCUUGUAGGCGGGGAAGGAUAGCAACAUUACUUCACUUCAAAUGGAAAAGACCAGGAACAAACAAUUAUAUUGUUAGCCAACUGCUUUGUGGCGCACUGACGUUGAGUCAUGCAAUCUGGGGGGCAAUGCCAGUGAAAUGGACUCAGCCAUAUUACAGCAGAAGACAGGAUGAAGAUGUGACAGCAUCAGGCUGAACCAGCAGAGCAACAAAAGGACCCCUGAGAGUGGCCUGAACCUGCCCUGGACAUUGAUGGCAGACCAUGAUUAGCUGAGAUGAGAGGAGGCUGGGAAGGGAGACCUCGGAUAUAGAAGUUUUCUAAGAGAGAAACGGUGCUGCCCAUAGAGAACUCCACUGUUGGCAUGGUGAUCCAAGUGGCUCAUGGGAAGGAAAGUGUGAGCCAGACUCCCUGAGAAUCGAGGAUACCCUGGAGCUGCUGAGAUGGAUAGUGGAGAAAGGGAAGGAGAGAAUUGAUAAGACAGGACAAUAACCACCAAGAUGCAGUUAUCCAGACUAACCCAGUAUAAUCCUUUAGGUCCAAUGCAGCUGGUGGUGUUCAUACGCAAAUAAGUCUGCCUGUCAUGUUUGCCUUUCCCGCCUGAGUUUAGAAUGCAAACAAUACAAGACAAGCCUGGGGAUUGUAGUAAUGUUUGAAAUUUAUCUUUAAAACAUAUGGUUCUUUCUUUAUCUCUCUCUCAGAACUGGCAGUUGCACCUCCAUCUAUCUGAAUGGAGUGAUAAGGACAGAUUUGAAGCUUGUGUAUACAAUGAAGUGAAACCUUUACUGACCCACAUCAGAAGUAUAAGGUCAUUUGGAUGCGGGGCUUGUAAGCCAGUACACCUGGGCUUAUUGCAUCAAGCCCAUCUGGAGGACAUUUACAACACAACCAAACACAGAACUAAUUUUGUAAUGGGACAUUCAAAACACAAAUUACUUUGAAGUUGGAGGAGGGAUAAAACACAGAAAUGAAAGCCCAUCAUAAUAUUAGGACAAAAAAACAGCAUCACUAUGACAACCCACUUCCAUGAUAACCGGGGACUAAAACAUCUAAACUAAUACCCUAUGUAUCUCAACUGCACAACCUUUUCACACACCUGCAAAAAAAUAGAUUAAAUAAUAUAACUUACUACUUUAUUUUAAUGCUUUACUACUGUAAAUUGCAAACAUUGGGCAAUAAGGUCAUAUGACAUUUUUUCCUGA